rnacentral:rRNA from 1 species
AACGAACGCUGGCGGCAGGCUUAACACAUGCAGGUCGAACGCCCCGCAAGGGGAGUGGCCGACGGGUGAGUAACGCGUGGGAACAUACCCUUUUCUACGGAAUAGCUCUGGGAAACUGGAAUUAAUACCGUAUACGCCCUACGGGGGAAAGAUUUAUCGGGGAAGGAUUGGCCCGCGUUGGAUUAGCUAGUUGGUGGGGUAAAGGCCUACCAAGGCGACGAUCCAUAGCUGGUCUGAGAGGAUGAUCAGCCACAUUGGGACUGAGACACGGCCCAAACUCCUACGGGAGGCAGCAGUGGGGAAUAUUGGACAAUGGGCGCAAGCCUGAUCCAGCCAUGCCGCGUGAGUGAUGAAGGCCUUAGGGUUGUAAAGCUCUUUCACCGAUGAAGAUAAUGACGGUAGUCGGAGAAGAAGCCCCGGCUAACUUCGUG